GGCCUAAUACAUGCAAGUCGAGGGGUAACAGGAAGUGCUUGCACUUCGCUGACGACCGGCGCACGGGUGAGUAUCGCGUAUACAAUCUGCCUCAUACUAGGGAAUAGCCCGAAGAAAUUUGGAUUAAUGCCCUAUAGUAUCUUUUUAAGGCAUCUUAUUAAGAUUAAAGGUUACGGUAUGAGAUGAGUAUGCGUUCUAUUAGCUAGUAGGUGUGGUAACGGCACACCUAGGCUACGAUAGAUAGGGGCCCUGAGAGGGGGAUCCCCCACACUGGUACUGAGACACGGACCAGACUCCUACGGGAGGCAGCAGUAAGGAAUAUUGGUCAAUGGACGAAAGUCUGAACCAGCCAUGCCGCGUGCAGGAUGACUGCCCUAUGGGUUGUAAACUGCUUUUAUAUAGGAAGAAAAACUUUCUCGUGAGAAAGCUUGACGGUACUAUAAGAAUAAGGAUCGGCUAA
rnacentral:rRNA from 1 species